rnacentral:rRNA from 1 species
CAGUAGCCGCGGUAAUACGUAGGUGGCAAGCGUUGUCCGGAAUUAUUGGGCGUAAAGGGCUCGCAGGCGGUUUCUUAAGUCUGAUGUGAAAGCCCCCGGCUCAACCGGGGAGGGUCAUUGGAAGCUGGGAAACUUGAGUGCAGAAGAGGAGAGUGGAAUUCCACGUGUAGCGGUGAAAUGCGUAGAGAUGUGGAGGAACACCAGUGGCGAAGGCGACUCUCUGGUCUGUAACUGACGCUGAGGAGCGAAAGCGUGGGGAGCGAACAGGAUUAGAUACCCCUGUAGUCCCUGUCUCUUAUAC